rnacentral:rRNA from 1 species
UACAGAGGUCCCGAGCGUUGUUCGGAUUCAUUGGGCGUAAAGGGUGCGUAGGCGGCGGGGCAAGUCUGAUGUGAAAUCCUGGGGCUCAACCCUGGAACUGCAAUUGGAUACUGCCUUGCUAGAGUACUGGAGAGGAAACUGGAAUUUACGGUGUAGCAGUGAAAUGCGUAGAGAUCGUAAGGAAGACCAGUGGCGAAGGCGAGUUUCUGGACAGUUACUGACGCUGAGGCACGAAGGCCAGGGGAGGCAAACGGG